GCCCCAGUAGCUCAGUGGAUUAGAGCGCUUCCCUGCGGAGGAAGAGGCCACAGGUUCGAAUCCUGUCUGGGGUGCCA
rnacentral:tRNA from 1 species